UAAGUCACAAAGGCACUCCACAACCCUUUACAGCUGGGCAGUCAUGUUCCAACAGCCUUUGCCUUUAGAGGUCCCACAAGUGGACAUGAGCAGGAAUUAGUUUCACAGCCAUAUUUAACAGAAGCAAAAUUUCUUACAGGAUCAGAGGGAGGAAGUCAGUCUCACCAUUCUCUUCUUGCUAUUGCUGUACAAGAGGAAGCUUUGGAUGGGAAAGCCCAGUGGUGAAAACAGACCAGGGGCAUGGGUUAAUACUACAUAAGAGUGCAGGCAGACUGUGAGAAAGAUAUUACAUUUGAGUCUAGGUUGACAGUGACCUCAAAAAGUCAUCUGAUCCAACCUCAUGGGGAAAGGAAUGUAAAUGGGAUUAUCUGCUCAUCUGCAGCUUGGAAACCUCCUGCAAUGAGGACUCAUGCGUGCCCCUGAAGUGGUUGUUCCAGGGGAUCAGUUCUUACUGCAAAAAAAUUUUAUUUCUUGUGUUGGUUCAACGUGUACACAUCACUCCUUGUCUCCUCCAUGAAGACUCCAUCAGCUUUGUUUCUGCCUUUUAAGUCCCAUGAAGAGGUACUCCCAAGUCUCCUCUCCAGGAACA